UCAAGUAGAAAAGGGCGCAUGGUGAAUGCCUAGGCACUAGAAGCCGAUGAAGGACGUGACGAACCACGAAAGGCUUCGGGGAGCAGUAAGUAAGCGAUGAUCCGGAGAUAUCCGAAUGGGGGAACCCAAUACCGCGAGGUAUUAUCAAGAGCUGUUAAGGCUGUUGAAGGAAGACGCAGUGAACUGAAACAUCUAAGUAGCUGCAGGAAGAGAAAGAAAAAUCGAUUUCCCAAGUAGCGGCGAGCGAACAGGAAAGAGCCCAAACCAGCUGGCUUGCCAGUUGGGGUAGUAGGACUGCAAUAAAGUACUUGAAGCGAUAGCAGAAUUAUCUGGAAAGAUAAGCCAGAGAGGGUGAGAGCCCCGUAAGCGAAAUUGCAGAGAGACUUAGCAGGAUCCUGAGUAGGUCGGGACACGAGGAAUCCCGAUUGAAACCGCGAGGACCAUCUCGCAAGGCUAAAUACUAACUAGUGACCGAUAGUGAACCAGUACCGUGAGGGAAAGGUGAAAAGAACCCCGGAAGGGGAGUGAAAGAGAACCUGAAACCGUGUGCCUACAAGUAGUCAAAGCACAUUAAAGUGUAAUGGCGUGCCUUUUGUAGAAUGAACCGGCGAGUUACGUUAUGGUGCAAGGUUAAGUCAGAAAAGACGGAGCCGGAGCGAAAGCGAGUCUGAAGAGGGCGAGAGAGUAUCAUGACGUAGACCCGAAACCAAGUGACCUACCCAUGACCAGGUUGAAGGCGUGGUAAAACACGCUGGAGGACCGAACCCACGUGAGUUAAAAAUCGCGGGGAUGAGUUGUGGGUAGCGGUGAAAUUCCAAACGAACUUGGAGAUAGCUGGUUCUCUCCGAAAUAGCUUUAGGGCUAGCCUCGUGUGAAUGAUAAUGGAGGUAGAGCGCUGUUUGGACUAGGGGCCCGUCAGGGGUUACUGAAUCCAGAUAAACUCCGAAUGCCAGAUAUCAAUGCACGGGAGUCAGACUGCGAGUGAUAAGAUCCGUAGUCGAAAGGGAAACAGCCCAGAUCACCAGUUAAGGUCCCCAAAUCUAUGCUAAGUGGAAAAGGAUGUGGAGUUGCGUAGACAACUAGGAUGUUGGCUUAGAAGCAGCCACCAUUUAAAGAGUGCGUAAUAGCUCACUAGUCGAGUGACGCUGCGCCGAAAAUGUACCGGGGCUAAGCAUAGUACCGAAACUGUGGAUGCAUAUCAAAGGAUAUGCGUGGUAGGAGAGCGUUCUAAGUGCGGAGAAGUUAGAUCGAGAGGACUAAUGGAGCGCUUAGAAGUGAGAAUGCCGGUAUGAGUAGCGAAAGAUAGGUGAGAAUCCUAUCCGCCGAAAGACUAAGGUUUCCUGGGGCAGGCUCGUCCGCCCAGGGUAAGUCGGGACCUAAGGUAAGGCCGAGAGGCGUAGCCGAUGGACAACAGGUAGAGAUUCCUGUACUGAAAUUGUUCGAUAAGAGCAAAGGAGGGACGCAGGAGGCUAAUGACGCAUGUAGCUGGAAAAACAUGUGCAAGCAGUAAGAAAAAACAUGAGUCAAAUGCUUAUGUUUAGAUUUCAAGCUGUGACGCGGAGUGAAAUCAAAGUAGCGAAGGUCAUGAUGUCACACUGCCAAGAAAAGCUUCUAGCCAGAGCAAUUUUACCCGUACCGCAAACCGACACAGGUAGUCGAGUGGAGAACACUCAGGUGAGCGAGAGAACUCUCGUUAAGGAACUCGGCAAAAUGACCCCGUAACUUCGGGAGAAGGGGUGCUGAUGGUAAAAGAUCAGCCGCAGUGAAUAGGCCCAAACAACUGUUUAUCAAAAACACAGGUAUCUGCAAAAUCGUAAGAUGACGUAUAGGUGCUGACACCUGCCCGGUGCUGGAAGGUUAAGAGGAGAGCUUAGCGCAAGCGAAGGUUUGAAUUGAAGCCCCAGUAAACGGCGGCCGUAACUAUAACGGUCCUAAGGUAGCGAAAUUCCUUGUCGGGUAAGUUCCGACCUGCACGAAAGGUGUAAUGAUUUGGGCACUGUCUCAACGAGAGACUCGGUGAAAUUAUAAUACCCGUGAAGAUGCGGGUUACCCGCGACAGGACGGAAAGACCCCAUGGAGCUUUACUGUAGCUUGAUAUUGAGUAUUUGUUAAACAUGUACAGGAUAGGUAGGAGCCAGAGAAAGUAGGACGCUAGUCUUACUGGAGGCAAUGUUGGGAUACUACCCUUGUUUGAUGGAUCCUCUAACUCGCAGAGCUGAGCGUUCUGGAGGACAGUGUCAGGUGGGCAGUUUGACUGGGGCGGUCGCCUCCUAAAAUGUAACGGAGGCGCCCAAAGGUUCCCUCAGAAUGGUUGGAAAUCAUUCGCAGAGUGUAAAGGUAUAAGGGAGCUUGACUGCGAGAGGUACAACUCGAGCAGGGACGAAAGUCGGGCUUAGUGAUCCGGUGGUUCCGCAUGGAAGGGCC
rnacentral:rRNA from 1 species